rnacentral:lncRNA from 1 species
CAUAUCAUUUGAUCGCAAACAUGUUUAAAAACUAUAUGAUAAAUCUUUCUUUAUUGAUUACUAAUAUAGUUCUAAGGAUUUCAUCACAAUACAAAAGUUCUACAAGAAAGAUGCAAUGUUAUGAUAAAAAAUGUGAAAGUAAUUUUUAUUUAUUAAUGAAUAAUUCAUAUACAAAAAGAACUCAAUCGUCAUAUGAUUGGUUUUAGAACAUAUUUUCCAACAACUUUUACUUGGACUAAAGCCAAUCGGGGUAGUAUCUUAUACCCAUCUUCUAUUUGAAAUCAUCGAACUCUU